CGCCAGACUCCUACGGGAGGCAGCAGUGGGGAAUAUUGCACAAUGGGGGAAACCCUGAUGCAGCGACGCCGCGUGAGUGAAGAAGUAUUUCGGUAUGUAAAGCUCUAUCAGCAGGGAGGAAAAUGACGGUACCUGACUAAGAAGCCCCGGCUAACUACGUGCCAGCAGCCGCGGUAAUACGUAGGGGGCAAGCGUUAUCCGGAUUUACUGGGUGUAAAGGGAGCGUAGACGGCAUGGCAAGUCAGAUGUGAAAGCCCGGGGCUCAACCCCGGGACUGCAUUUGAAACUGUCAGGCUGGAGUGCAGGAGAGGUAAGUGGAAUUCCUAGUGUAGCGGUGAAAUGCGUAGAUAUUAGGAGGAACACCAGUGGCGAAGGCGGCUUACUGGACUGUAACUGACGUUGAGGCUCGAAAGCGUGGGGAGCAAACAGGAUUAGAUACCCUCGUAAG
rnacentral:rRNA from 1 species